AACGCACAUUGCACUCUGUUUCGGCAGAGUAUGCCUGUUUGAGAAUCUAUAGUAUUCAUUCUCGGAGCUGAUCUUUAACUAGUGACGCGAUGAGAGAGUUGAGACGUUCCACUCACACUAGAUGUCUUGAAAGCUAUGGCUGCUGGUCGUUGAAGAACAGAAAAGUAUGUGUAUGGAACCUCGGUUUCUCUAAUGCUGACUAUGCUCUGAAACACUAUGACCGGUACUCACCUAGUCAGAGUCGUUAAACACUCGAACCAUGGUCUCAAAUCAGGCAGGAAGACCCGCUGAACUUAA
rnacentral:misc_RNA from 1 species